UCAGGUUUUUGAUUGCCACUUUGACAAUUGAUUGGGAACAACUUAUGGAAUUAGGUUUUUAGAUCAUCAUCUUUAUUUUUGAAAUGGAACAAAACAACUUAAUAUAGCUAGAACAGAGAUGUUUUUGAAUCUAAAGUUUUUUUCUUGCAUUAGGGUUUGUUUCUGGAUUCUGUGUAGUCUAAAGGGUUUAGAUUUGGGAUGCAGUGUGUUCUAUAAGGGUUGAAACAUGAAUGGAUUACAGCCUAACAAGCAUUUCUUGUCUUGGCUAUUUUUAGAGUCAGAAACAGAGAUGCUUAGACUCUUGAAGUUUCUUGCCACCGAAAUUAGGGUUUGUUUUUUGGAUUUAGUGUGUGUGUCUUCUUAGAGGGUUUUGUUUGUUGAAUCGUCUCCAGAUGCACAAAGGAGAACAGGGCUGCUGGAAUUUUGGAUAACCAUGCAGAGGGAGAGAAGUAUAAGGAAAAUUUCCUGAGGAAGUUUGUUCGCAAUAAGAAACCUGAAAUCAUGCCUGGACUCAACAAGUUCUUCACUGAUCCUACAUACUGAAACCAUCUUUCAAGACCUUUGCACACCGCUUUGUCUUAUUGUUUCUGGAAUUGAAUCUCUUGUGAUAUAAACCUCAUUUGUCAAUUUCACAUUGUUGAUGUA
rnacentral:lncRNA from 1 species